rnacentral:lncRNA from 1 species
UUGGUAUUUAAAAAAAAAAAAAAAAAAAAAAGGUAGCAAAAGAAAAGAGAGAAAGAAUCAAAGCCUCAAGCGUCAUGUCUAGGAAUAGCCUCGGAGCCAGGCCAAGUCAUUAUAGACGAUGAGUAAUCCGGUUAAGUCAUUUCUCUAAACACCAUUCCUUGUAAGAGAAUUAAAAUAUCAGUUUACAUCAGAGGGGGAGAGGCAGGCUCCAGAGGCCCGGCCGGGAGCGCAGCCAGGAGGGGGCGCGGCUGGCGCGCCGCUGCCGCUCGCUCGGCCCAGCCUCGGGGCGGGGGCGGGAUGCCAGGGCCCUGACAGCUGGACCCUGGGCUCGGGCAGGCGGCCAGCUAGCGGGGGGUGGGGGGGGGGAGCGGCCCGCCAGGCCUCAGUUUACCAGAUGGUAAGGGCUUCAGGGAAAGUUUGGGGCUGCUCCCUGUCGGAAGAAUCGGUGUCCCUCGUGGGGGCAGCCCAGCAAGGUGAAUGGUGUGGGCACUAGGCAAGAGGGGGCUGGGCUGCUCUUUUCUUCAGUGUCCCCUAUUUCCUCCCGGAUUUCAGAGUUCCUGUCUCGGCAGCUGCAGGCCUACUGUCGGGGCGAAGGGCUGAGGACUGGCCUGAGGACACGGAGAGAGUAAAAGCGAGUGUUACCCGAACUUGCCUCUGACUGGGCAAAUUUGGUGUGCUACUGGGUCUAUGGAAGAAAGUAACCAGGAUGCCAGGAGGAAUUAUGAGCAAGGCUGGAUUGCCAGGGUGGAAUGGAACAGGAGAGCCUAGAGGGCUCUUCUCAUCCGGCUGUGGUUUCUGACCUUUGCAGACCCCAGCUCUGCUCAACUAUCCAGCCUUUGCAGUCACAGAAACUCUCUGGCUCAGGGACCCUGGUGGACUCAAGGCUGUUAAAAAAGAAGAAGAAGAAGAAUGUAUGGGGUGCCUGGCUGGCUCAGUCGGAAGAGCGUGCAACUCUUGAUCUCAGGGUGGUGAGUCUGAGCCCCCCAUUCAAUGGGAAGAUUACUUAAAGUUAAAAAAAAAUGUGACUGAGAUCUUAAGCCUAACAUAUUCACUAUCUGACCUGUUACAACCCAACAGCACCCUGCAGAGUGGUGGCUGAGCCCUAUCCCGAGGCUGCCAGGCUCCUGCUUUUCCUUCAGCAUUGCAGCGAUUCCAAGUCUGGGGAGGUGGCCUGUGAACCUUGGGUCAGCUGCUUGUGGGAGCCAGGGGUUGGAGAGCGGGCCAGUGGAUGCUUCAUCCCCCUUUCCUGCCAUUGCUCUGAAAGGAGUAUAUCUUGUUACCUGUUAUCUGGGCGUCUCCAAGCACAGGACUGAAUUCAGAGAAUACAAUGCUGAUUUCUAUACCCCUGUGGUCUGACCUGUUUAUGGAAAACUCUGUUGAUCAAAAUACCCAAGCACAUGCAUGCACAACAUGCACGCACAUGUAGGGACAUUCUGGAGAACUGAUUUUUCUGGGUAACUGAGGGUUAACUGGAAGCCUGUGUCCUUAUGCCUUAUCGAAAAUUUCUCUACAAAUGGCGAGCAUUUCCCCAGUUUAGUAUUUUGAAAAGUUCCACCACUUUCUAAAUAUGUGACCUUGGUUGAGUUACCUAACCUCAGUAACCUCAGUUUCCUUAUCUGUAAAAUACGCAGAGCAAUACCUCCUGGGUUGUGACAAGCACUAGAAAGAG